rnacentral:rRNA from 1 species
CAGCCGCCGCGGUAAUACAGAGGGUGCAAGCGUUAAUCGGAAUUACUGGGCGUAAAGCGCGCGUAGGUGGUUCGCCAAGUUGGAUGUGAAAUCCCCGGGCUCAACCUGGGAACUGCAUCCAAAACUGGCGAGCUAGAGUAUGGUAGAGGGUGGUGGAAUUUCCUGUGUAGCGGUGAAAUGCGUAGAUAUAGGAAGGAACAUCAGUGGCGAAGGCGACCACCUGGACUGAUACUGACACUGAGGUGCGAAAGCGUGGGGAGCAAACAGGAUUAGAUACCCCGGUAGUCCCUGUCUCUUAUAA